UUUUACUCAACCAAACUGUACUCUCUUCUCCUUAUUUUACGCAAGUUUUGUACCUGUUCCGCCGAUCGAUCGAGUCAUCAAAGCACUGUUGUAGCGGCUGUUGCGGAGAUGAUGUUUGAGCAGCUGCAUAGAGUACUUUGAAGAACUGUUUCUGCGGCUUCUCCCGUAACUAAUUUGAAGGUUCACUAUUUGAACGGCGCCACAAAGUCCUCUUCUGAUAGAAGAACUGUUCUAGCGGCUGUGUAUAAAAAGUUUUUGGGAAGGAUAGAAAGAAGCAGUCAUGCGAUUUCCUUGCUUGUGUUUGGGCAUUCUUCGCUAGAUGUUUGAGGAAGCUAUGGAGCUUUGAUCAGCUCAUACCUUAUUCACUAUUAUCUUCUCUGCAAGGUUAGUUUUCCUCUAGCUUCUAUUUUCAUGACUUCAUAAGUUCGUUUUGCUUACCCACAUGGCCACACAUGCUUUUGUUCUGUACAUAAUGCAUGCUGAAACACCUAUUCAGUCUUCAGACAAAGGAGACGCGUGAUUUGGUCUUUUCUGGGGUUUACUAUCUUGGAGGUAAAUUUACGUUGGUUGUAAGUUUCUAUGAUCUAUGAUUUGUGUGGUAUGGUAAGAUAAUUGUAAGUUUGCUUUAGUAUUGCUGCUUUAAAUAAUACAUGUACUCCAUCUAUGAUCUCACGAUGAUCGUUAAAUCACACAAAUCACUAGAUUUUACAACAUGUCACUGAAUCACGAGGCUUAGAAGGCUAGAAACGCUACAUGAACAAACAGUGGUAUAUUCUAUUUUUCAUUUCUUUGGGCCUCGGUAAUUAUAAGAUUGUGUAGGAGGGAACUGUAUACUCUAAUUGUUAGAGAAGCCACAAAUGGCAAAGACUCUUUAUGCCGCAUCUUAGCUCAAACUAGGGACUCCAUUGCACGAGCUUGUCCCUGCCACAUAAAUGGUAACAUUAUUCACAACCACUAGGAAUGAGUCACUAAAGAGAAUUUCUAUGGAAGUAUAUUGCUCCCAAGUGAUUAAUAUAAGGAAAUAUAGGCAUGGGGAUUUUGUUUUUAGAUUGUAAGGAUAAUCUAUACUGUCCUUGUCCUCUCUUGUUUAGUCAUGUUUUAAACUUAGGUCUGUUUUGGUUUUUUUUUUUAUAUUCGUUUACUUUUUCCCUGGUGUUUCUUAUUCUCGAUUUGUUUUGGUGUAUGCUUUAGGUUCUUUUGUAUGAUUCCUUAUUGCUUCAUUUAUGUGUUGACGAUUAGGGCUAUAACAAAGAAGUGUGAUUUGGUUUGUUCUUGGAAGGAGAAGUGUGCUAUGGUCUGUUCGUAGCGUUUCUUUUUUGUUGAGGGAAUAGAGUUGUUUGUAAGUAGAACACUGCAAACAAUUCCAAUGCAGAAAUCUAUGAAUCAUAGACAAGAUGCUAAUUGGUAUGUCUGCGUUGGGACUUCGAUGUAUCAACAUCAUUGUGAGGGUGCUACUAACAGUUGUGCAAAAACAGAGUAACUUCGU